UUCAUUUCCCAUUUCUCUUUUCUCCUUUUCUGCUCCUGCCUCCAAACCCUAGUGAAACUUCAUCUUCAUCUUCAAUAAUCGACAGCGAAGAAACAUCACAGAAAGCUCUCAAUCAUCUUCAGUCAUCGAAUUUUAUUCUCGUGUUUCAUUUCUUAUCUCUCUUUUAUCAUCGUUUUUUUGAUUUUAGGGUUUUUCAUCGUCUGUUAAUCUAGUUUAGGAUUUUGAUUUCAUAGAUCUGUACAAGUCUUUCAUCAUCUGUAGGGUUUUAGUUUUUUCAAUUUGUCAUGUAUGUUGAUUUGAAGAUGAUUUGGUAUCAUUGAAGGAAGAGGAAGAUAACUCAUCGACCCAAUUAGGUUUUUUACACCAUACAAAUCGAGAGAAAAAGGCUUCAAUAAAAAUCAUGGAUCGUGAAAAUUGGAGCUGUAGAUGCUUCAGGGGGAGGUGGUUCUCUAGGGGGUUGAGUAGAUUCUGAAGCAGAGGCUAUGAAGAUGAAUCUGACGAAUCAAAAUCAGAAAAGUGAAUGAUUAAGAUGAUGAAGAAGAUGAGAUUAGUGGAGAGAUGUCCUGCUUAAGUUUGGGGAUUAUACAACAGUGAGAGGAAUGGUGCUUAAGGAUUUUAUUCUCUUCUUUUGAUCUGGCAUCAGUUCUGUAGCUAUGAAAUAUAUGUUUACGUGAUGGCUCUUUAGGAGAGGAAUGACCAGAACUCUAAUUCAUUCAGUUCUCGGAUUUAUAUUGUUGUUUUGAAUGUUUAUGCUGCUUUGUGAGUAUUUCUUUCGCUGCUUCUUAAGUAUCCGGCUUCUCUCACUUUGUUAAAAAGGACUAAUCAGUCCUCCUUUCAGUUCUCCAAGAGGAUUUAUGAGAAGCGAUAUUUGUGCGUCAUGGCCUGUUCGAGAGGAUGAGUAACUAUUUGAGCGUGUUCUUGAUGCUCUUUUUCCCUCAGUUCUUUGAGGUACUUGUGCCAUUCGUGGAGCAUUUGGUUGUGGAAAGACAGUCAUCAGUCAAGCUCGUUCUAAGUACUCUAAUUCAGAGACUGGUUUACGUUGGUUGUGGAGAAAGAGGAAAUGAGAUGGAUGAUGUUGUUAUGGAUUUCCCUAAUCUGACCAUGACAUUAGCUGAUGGCCAACUCUUGUAGCUAACACAUCUAACUUGCCUGUGGUUGCUCAAGAGUCCUCUAUUUAUACAAGAAUCACAGUUGCUGAAUACUUCCGAGAUAUGGGUUCUUACAAAGUUAUUAUGAUGGAUGAUCUUACAUAUUGAUGGGUAGAGGCUUUACGUUAAAUUUCAGACUCCCCUGAUGAAGCUCUUCGGAUGUAUGAUGAUGGUUGCCCCAUCCUUGAAGAACAUGAAAAGGAGAAAAUCGCAUUUGAUCUAUAUCGUGUUGUUGCCAGUGUUUAUAUACAAUGAAGUACUGCGUAGCUGCUUAUUUCUUGGAAGAGAGAGCUCCUGCAAGAGAAGUGUCCAUGGAUUGAAGAUGCGUAGCUGCUGUCUCUUUGGAUUCCAUUCGCUUCACUGAUUCUGCUUCAAAUGCAGCAGUCUGCGGCAUGAGAAGCCUGUUAUGUGAGUCAUGUUUCUGUGCAUGUUAGUCUGCGACAUGAGAAAAUUUAGAAAUAGGUUAGGAACCUAGGAAGUUUUUUAAGUUUCUGUGAACUGCAUUUUGGAACUUGGUGAGUUUCUAUGUAUUCCCCUUAGAAAUUUGAUACUUGACAAAAAAAGAUUGGUACUUAGAAAAAUUUCAGUUCUUUUUUGAUAUGA